GAGUUGAAGUCACUCCUAUAUGUUUCUGCAGUGUUAGAAAAGAAAGGAGGGAGCUGUGAGUCCUGCAGUUUCUGGUACAAAGCAGCAUUGGACCAUCUCCAUAUGAAGUUCAUCUCCAUAUGAAGUUUUAUGUCCAACACUGGGAAGCGCAUUCAAAAAAGGAAUCAGAGUUCAGAUAAGUGCUACAGAAAGCACCUACAAAACCUGACCUGAAGGAAGAAAGAAAAGUUUUCAUUUCGAAGAAAGAAUCCUGAGAUGUGAAAUGUUGAUAGUGCUGUAUUAGUGUUUAUACUGAAGUUCUGCUCUUGGUAAUGACCUGACCUAAGUCCUUGUCCCUCUGGAAUAGAUACUGGAUCUCAGUACAUGUCACCUUCGAUCUCACACAUAAAACAACCCUGAGAUUCUCUAGCACAUGGAUGGAAAGGAAAUAGAUGACAAAGUGGACAGUAAAGCAGUCUUCCACCCAGUGCAACUAGGACUGGUCCUGUUUCUUCCUUUUCGACACUUACUCCUCUGAAAAUCCCUGAUGGAAACUGGAUUGUGGAAAGCCCUUAUAAUAGACAGAAACAUCAUGUAGCAGAACUGUACAGGAGCCAUGCAGCACACUGGGUUCUUGAAGGAGUGUGUCUGUACAAUCAAUAAGACAAAUUUAUGAACAUGAUUUGUUCAGUGAAGUAAUUUAAUUGUAUGUAAUAUGAUCAAAAUGGAUUUAGAAAAAAAGAAGUUGGGAACUGGGAAAAGCAGAUGCACGGUAACACAAACGCAAACCAGUAACAUGAAGCUACCAAAACAUUGAUUCAAGCUUUCAUAGAAUGACCUGUUUUCCUGGCUCAGGCAGCUUUUUGCAUUAAAAUCUGGCAGAAUUUACAUAGUGCAGCCCAGCUGAUACUGACAAAGCAAUUUGUACCACUGUGGGAAUACUGGCAGUGGUCUACCAGUUGGGUUCCUGCUUUUUACAUUUGCAGAAUUUGAGUGGACAGAAAAGUUGUUUAUAGUUCAAAGGGCUAAUCCUUACUGUCAGUGUAAAAAACUUUCUGGAGUCAAAUAAAUUACUAUGUAUGUACCAUUAAAACAGACAAACAAACAAACAUAUAAGUAAAAUAACUCUCACAUAUAUUUUCCAUUCGAAGGUGCUGGUUGCUACCCUCUGGAAAUAUCUUUAUUGAUGAUUAAAAACCAAUAAUAAAACUUGCAUCCAGAGUUUAGAGUUCAGUAGACAAGCUUGCAGGACACAGUUAACUACAGGAAUGAAAUGAGGCAUACCACUCAGGCCUCCUAUUCCCAAAGAAGUUUCCCUAAAAAAUGCUUGAAGGAACAGCAUUCUAGUUUAGGUUUUGUAGUGCAACAGUCCACAAAUGAAAAUGAGCUAUUUGCAAAGGUGAGUUUUAAAAGCCUAAGUGGAUUUUACAUAGACAUAAAAGGAAUAAUUCCAUUUAACUACGAGUAAAGUCAGACAUUCUGUGAAAACAUGUCUUAGUGAAUCUUGAGCUGGAAGACAGCCUUCCUGUUGUAAACAUCACACAUUGGUUACAUAAAUCUCAUUCUGGAAUAAACCUUAAAUACCCUGCAGAGAGGACAGUAUAUUACUCUGAAC
ensembl:lncRNA